GUUAUGCCAGUUGUUGUAGUUUUUCUGCUCAGCAUUGUUGCUCUAGCGUGGUGGUGCAGCCACAGUUAGAAUUUUGCACCUUCCCUCGUAAAGUCCCUUUCAUUGGAGCAUACAAUGCACAUUGUUCUCUGUUGAACUCAACAAAUCAGGAAAAGAUUAAACUCAACAAACAGCUCCCUUAGUCGGCAACAUCAUUAAGGUUAUUUGCAAAUACUGUACCGAGUGAGAAGGAUCCUCUGCUUGGAGUGAAUUUGGAGAAAAAUGUGGCUUUAAAGCAGGAUGCAGCCCACGGUAGCAUUUCAAAUCCCAACUGUGUAAUGCUUGCACAAAAUUCUAUGUCCAGCAGAGCAUGACAGGCUGUCUAAUUGAUGAGGACUCAAUUGAGGAAUAUGAAAAGGUGGCAAAGGAAAAGAGGAAGGAGAAAUUGGAGCAACAGGAAGGAGUGGAGUUAAAUUUUCUCAGCAAACUUGGUCAUGUCCAAAAGAUUGAGAUUCUGAAUGGCAUUGCUGACAUGAAGAAUGAACUCAGGUCCUUCAUGUUAUUUAGAGUGUAGGCUCGAAAAGAGGUUCACAAUGCUUCACCGGGGAGUUUACAUGGGUCCAUGAUCAAAGCUGCCCAACAGGUGCAGGUGCAGGUCACAAUCCCGCCUUCCCUACCCAAAAUUCAGGUGAAGUUUGCUAAGCCCACACAUGGGUAGAGCCUUCUGCAACAACAUAUAGCUGCAUGUACCAAUAUAACAUAAGGUUUGAGGCACCUAUGGAUCUAAAGAAAGAGUGGGAAAGAUUAAUAUUUGAACAAAAGUAUGGGGAAGCAUUCACUUGAACCCAUGAAUUGUUGGAUGUUUAUUUGGUUUUUAGAUAAUGUAGAUUUUUCUUAGUUUUUCAGAGUUUAUAAUUGAGAAGAUAAGCAUGUGCUCUUGAAGUAUUGUCUCUCUCUCUCUCUCUCUCUCUCUCUCUCUCUCUCUCUCUUUUAUGACAUCUCAUCCUUAUCUUUUUCUAUAUUUUUAGUUCUUCAAUUUUGCUGCAUAACUUUUCUGUAUGAUGAUAUUCGUUGUAGGAAGCUAUUCGUUGGGGUACUGAUUAUCUUCUCAAAGCUACUGCUCAUCCAAACACCAUAUAUGUGCAGGCUUCUUUUUCUUUUUCUCUAAUUCUUUUUUGGGUUGGAUUUGCUUUCUUUUUCUUUUUCCUCAUGUGGGAUCUCUGUUUCUUUUCAGAAAAAAGCUGUUUAAUUUGUAUUUUCCAUUUGUUUGGGAUUUUUUUAUUUUUUAUUUUUGGAUUUCUUUGCUGGGUUUUUCCAGCCGUUAUUGGAAUGUUGGUUUCUGGUUCUUAUAACGUUUUGGAGUUUUUUUUAGAAGAAAAGAGGAAUAAGAGACAAAAAGCUGGUUUUUUUUUUUUUUUUUUGGUUGUUGAAGAUUUUAAGCAAUGAAAAUGGUUUUUGGGAUUUUUAGAGGGCUUGAAAGAAAGAGAAGCAGAGAAAACAGAGCAAUGUGAGUUUUUAUUUUUGGUUACAAGUGGGUGAUGCUAACAAGGAUUAUGCAUGUUGAACACAAUGAAGUCAGGAAACACACAUGCUGUAGUUAUAUAACACAUGCACAGAUCGACACAUCACAUUUUGAUGCAACUUGGUUAUCAAGGCAAUGGUUAAUCACAUUUUGAUGCAGUUUGGU